rnacentral:rRNA from 1 species
GGCGAACGCUGGCGGCAUGCCUAAUACAUGCAAGUCGAGCGGAGUUGAUGAGAAGCUUGCUUCUCUGAUACUUAGCGGCGGACGGGUGAGUAACACGUAGGCAACCUGCCCCCAAGCUUGGGACAACUACCGGAAACGGUAGCUAAUACCGAAUACUUGUUUUCUUCGCCUGAAGGAAACUGGAAAGACGGAGCAAUCUGUCACUUGGGGAUGGGCCUGCGGCGCAUUAGCUAGUUGGUGAGGUAACGGCUCACCAAGGCGACGAUGCGUAGCCGACCUGAGAGGGUGAUCGGCCACACUGGGACUGAGACACGGCCCAGACUCCUACGGGAGGCAGCAGUAGGGAAUCUUCCGCAAUGGGCGAAAGCCUGACGGAGCAAUGCCGCGUGAGUGAUGAAGGUUUUCGGAUCGUAAAGCUCUGUUGCCAGGGAAGAACGCUUGGGAGAGUAACUGCUCCCAAGGUGACGGUACCUGAGAAGAAAGCACCGGCUAACUACGUGCCAGCAGCCGCCGUAA